UACGUAGGCAGCGAGCGUUGUUCGGAAUUACUGGGCGUAAAGAGCGUGUAGGCGGCCAGGUAGGUCAGCUGUGAAAACUCGAGGCUCAACCUCGAGAUGUCGGCUGAAACCAUCUGGCUAGAGUCCGGAAGAGGAGAAUGGAAUUCCCGGUGUAGCGGUGAAAUGCGCAGAUAUCGGGAAGAACACCCGUGGCGAAGGCGGUUCUCUGGGACGGUACUGACGCUGAGAAACGAAAGCUAGGGGAGCGAAGGGG
rnacentral:rRNA from 1 species